UGAGCCUCUUCAAAUUUCUGGCUAAACUCAUCGUUCAUGGAGGCCCGCAUAAUGUAAUGAACUAAGGUGCAGUCGUCGAGCUACUUUAAAUAAGUAUCUUGGAUCGUACCUCAAGCAUUAAGAGUAGGCUCCUCAGGUGCUGGAUCCAUAAUCACUUAUAGGAUCCGCUUGUGCUACAGGACAAUCUUUAGCUUUCGAUAUCAAUUAUCAAAAUUUGGUCUGGUUAGCUUCUCACUAUCCAACGGU
rnacentral:lncRNA from 1 species